GACGGGGGGGGGCAAGCGUUGUUCGGAAUUAUUGGGCGUAAAGGGCUCGUAGGCGGAUCCGCCAGUUUGACGUGAAAUCUCCACCGCUCACCGGGGAGAGGUCGUUGAAUACUACGGAUCUGGAGUUCGGCAGAGGACCAUGGAAUUUCGGGUGUAGCGGUGGAAUGCGUAGAUAUCCGAAAGAACACCGGUGGCGAAGGCGGUGGAUCGUGGGCCUGGAACUGACGCUGAGGAGCGAAAGCCAGGGGAAGCCAAAGCGGG
rnacentral:rRNA from 1 species